UACAGAGGUCCCAAGCGUUGUUCGGAUUCACUGGGCGUAAAGGGUGCGUAGGUGGUGAGGUAAGUCGGAUGUGAAAUCUCGGAGCUCAACUCCGAAAUGGCAUUGGAAACUACCUUGCUCGAGGGAUGGAGGGGGGACUGGAAUUCUCGGUGUAGCAGUGAAAUGCGUAGAUAUUGGGAAGAACACCGGUGGCGAAGGCGGCCAUCUGGACCGCAACUGACGCUGAGGCGCGAAAGCGUGGGGAGCAAACAGG
rnacentral:rRNA from 1 species